AACAGCUUUGCCAGUUAAAGUAUUCUCCAUUAGCAAAUUUUUUUCUUUAAUAAUUUUGAAUGUAUCUUCCCAUUCUCUCCUGAUCUGCAAGAUAAAUCUGCUGAUAACCUUUGAGGUUUCACCGUAUGUGGAAAGACUUGUUUCUUGCUGUUUUCAAAAUUCUGAGUUUUGACAAUUUGAUUAUAAUGUGUCAUGGUGAAGUCUUCUUUGGGUAAAGACUAUUUGGGAACUUCUGAGCUUCACGGACUUUGGUUGUUUAUUUCUCUUCCAAGAUUUGGGAAGUUUGCAAUCAUUAAUUCUUUGAAUAAGUAUCUUUCUCUUUCUCUCUUUUCUCCUUCUAAAACUCCUAUAAGGUGUAUAUUUGUUCACUUAAUGGUGGCCCAUGAGUCCUGCAGGGUUUGUUUACUUUUUUUCAUUCUUUUAUUCUUGUUCUCCUCAGAGUGAAUAAUUUCAAAAGCCUUGUCUUUGAGUUCACCAAUUCUUUCUCCUGAUUGAUCUCAUCUGCUGGUGAAGUUUUCUAUUGUAUUUUUUUUCAUUUUAUUAAUUGUAUUCUUCAGCUCCAGGAUUUCUAUUUGGCUUAUCUAUGAUUUCUAUCUCUUUGUUGAACUUCCUAUUUUAUGUCUUAUUUUUCUGAUUUUGCUGAGGUAUCUGUGUUAUCUUGUAUCUCACUGAGCUACCUUAAAAUAAUUAUUUUUAAUCAAUUUUCAGACAAUUCUAGAUCUCCAUUUUGAGGUGAUUAGUAACUGGACAAUUAUUUUGUUCCUUUGGUGGUGUCAUGUUUCUUUGCUUUUUCAUGUUUCUCAUGGCCUUGCAUAGAUGUCUGCCAUUGGAGGGAGCAGUAAACAUUUCCAGAUUUUAUGGACUGGCUUCAGUGGGGAAAGCGUUUCACUUGCAGGUAUGUGUUAGGGUGCUGGCUGGUGGGGUGCAGUGGCUGCAGUUAUGGGGAGGGUGCAGUGGUGCAGUCUCCAUGUAGCUCUGUCAACUGAGGUCACCAUCUGUGGAGACUGUGGGAAACCUUGGUGGCCUAGGCUAUGGGAGUCUGCAGUGGCAGCAAGGGUUAUUGGGGAGCUUUGUCUGAUACUCAAAUUUUGGCAUAAUUUGGCCCAAUGUUAUCCUAUAGAAAAAUAAUAUGAGCAACAUAUGUAACUUAAAAUUUUCUAGUGUGCACAUUAAAAAAAGUAGGCACAGAUGAAGUUAAUUCUAGUAAUCUGUAUUAUUGAAAAUAUCUUGUAAUGCACAAUCAAUAUAAAAACAUGUGAUAUUUUACUUUUUAAAAUUAAGUGUCCAAAAUCUGGUAUGUAUUUUACAUUUACAGAAAAUUUCUCUUUAGACUAGCCAUAUUUCAAGUGCUGAGUAGCCACGUGUAGCUAAUGGCUACUGUAUUAGCAUAAACUAGUCCUACUCUAUUGUGAUCCCUUAAAUUUCUGUCAGCCACAUCUCUCAUUCUUCCCUGAAAACACUCUGCUAUAGUCUGAAUGUUUCUGUCCUCCCCAAAUUUAUAUGGUAAAAUCCUAAUGUCCAAGGUGAUGGUAUUAGGAGGUGAGGCCUUUAGAAGGUAUUAGAUAAUGAAGGCUCCACCCUCAUGACAGGUAUUAGUAUGCUUAUAAG
rnacentral:lncRNA from 10 species